GUGCUCGCUUCAGCAGCACAAAUACUAAAAUUGGAACAAUACAGAGAAGAUUAGCCUAACCCCAGAACAAAUUUAUGACACACAAAUUUAUGAAGUGUUUCAUAUUUUU